AUCGGGGUGGCCAAGUGGUUACGGUGCGGCGUUGGACUAAAGUUCCAAUGGACAAAAGUCCUCGGUGGUUCAAACCCCACUCCUGGUA